rnacentral:lncRNA from 13 species
UAAUAUGUGGUUGUUCCUCUCGGGAGCAGUAGUAUAUAAUGAUGUAUUAUAAUACUAUAUAACAGUAAUAUGUGGUUGUUCCUCUCAGGAGUUCUUCUUUGAUCCUGAGGUGCUGACAGAGGGACAGCUGGCUCCUAACGACCGCUGCUGCAGGAUAUGUGGCAAGAUCGGACACUUCAUGAAAGACUGCCCCAUGCGCAGGAAGUCUAGGCAGCGUCGUGAACAGGAGGACCGAGCGGAGGGAAGGAGGGACUGGGCGGAGGGGGGCAGGGAACAUCGUCAGGGUGAAUACUGGAGAAGACAGGAAGAGAAACGGUGCUGCUUCCUGUGUGGAAGCCACGCCCACAUCAAGAAAGACUGCCCCCAGUACAGAGGACCAGCUGGGGCCUUCUCUUCAUCUCCCUCUACGAGCCACAUGAGGAAUUUGAGAGAGAGAAAAACAGGUAUGAUGAAUACUCGCACAAACAUUGACAUGCACUCAGAACCCUGGUCUAACCCUAGUGUGUUUGUUCAGGACUCACCUCCACCUGUUCUAACCCUAGUGUGUUUGUCCAGGACUCACCUCCACCUGUUCUACCCCUAGUGUGUUUGUCCAGGACUCACCUCAACCUGGUCUAACCCUAGUGUGUGUGUGUUUGUCCAGGACUCACCUCAACCUGUUCUAACCCUAGUGUGUGUGUUUGUCCAGGACUCACCUCAACCUGGUCUAAUCCUAGUGUGUGUGUUUGUCCAGGACUCACCUCAACCUGGUCUAAU